UACGUAGGCAGCGAGCGUUGUUCGGAGUUACUGGGCGUAAAGCGUGCGUAGGCGGUCUUGUAAGUUUGGUGUGAAAUCUCCCGGCUCAACUGGGAGGGUGCGCCGAAAACUGCAAGGCUGGAGUAUGGGAGAGGUAGGCGGAAUUCCUGGUGUAGCGGUGAAAUGCGUAGAGAUGCGGAGGAACACCGAUGGCGAAGGCAGCCCCCUGGGCUAGCACUGACGCUCAGGCACGAAAGCGUGGGGAGCAAACAGG
rnacentral:rRNA from 1 species